AGGGUGUAAACGCUGCAGACUUGGUGUUGGAAAUCCUUCGAGGGUAUUCAGUGCCGGAGAGAAGUUGUUAAGUCUGCUACUUGGGGAGUACGUCCGCAAGGAUGAAACUUAAAGGAAUUGGCGGGGGGAGCACCGCAACGGGAGGAGCGUGCGGUUUAAUUGGAUUCAACACCGGAAAACUCACCAGGGAGACUGUUACAUGAAAGUCAGGUUGAUGACCUUACUAGAUUUUCAGAGAGGAGGUGCAUGGCGUCAGUGACU
rnacentral:rRNA from 1 species